AGUGAACGCUGGCGGCAGGCCUAACACAUGCAAGUCGAACGGCAGCACAAGAGAGCUUGCUCUCUGGGUGGCGAGUGGCGGACGGGUGAGGAUGCAUCGGAAUCUGCCCAUUUGUGGGGGAUAACCUCGGGAAACCGGGACUAAUACCGCAUACGACCUACGGGUGAAAGCAGGGGAUCUUCGGACCUUGCGCAGAUGGAUGAGCCGAUGCCGGAUUAGCUAGUUGGAGGGGUAAAGGCCCACCAAGGCGACGAUCCGUAGCUGGUCUGAGAGGAUGAUCAGCCACACUGGGACUGAGACACGGCCCAGACUCCUACGGGAGGCAGCAGUGGGGAAUAUUGGACAAUGGGCGCAAGCCUGAUCCAGCCAUGCCGCGUGUGUGAAGAAGGCCUUCGGGUUGUAAAGCACUUUUGUUGGGAAAGAAAAGCAGCCGGUUAAUACCCGGUUGUCAUGACGGUACCCAAAGAAUAAGCACCGGCUAACUUCGUG
rnacentral:rRNA from 1 species